rnacentral:rRNA from 1 species
UCGGGAAUAUUGCGCAAUGGAGGAAACUCUGACGCAGUGACGCCGCGUAUAGGAAGAAGGUUUUCGGAUUGUAAACUAUUGUCGUUAGGGAAGAGAAAGGACAGUACCUAAGGAGGAAGCUCCGGCUAACUACGUGCCAGCAGCCGCGGUAAUACGUAGGGAGCGAGCGUUAUCCGGAUUUAUUGGGUGUAAAGGGUGCGUAGACGGGUAAUCAAGUUAGUUGUGAAAUCCCUCGGCUCAACUGAGGAACUGCAACUAAAACUGGUUGUCUUGAGUGCAGGAGAGGUAAGUGGAAUUCCUAGUGUAGCGGUGAAAUGCGUAGAUAUUAGGAGGAACACCAGUGGCGAAGGCGACUUACUGGACUGUAACUGACGUUGAAGCACGAAAGUGUGGGGAGCAAACA